GACGAACGCUGGCGGCGUGCUUAAUACAUGCAAGUCGAACGGAAAGGCCAUGCUUUUGUGGGGUGCUCGAGUGGCGAACGGGUGAGUAACACGUGAGUAACCUGCCCUUGACUUUGUGAUAACUUCAGGAAAAUGGGGCUAAUACCGGAUAUGAGCUCCUGCUGCAUAGGGGGGGAUGGAAAGUUUCGGCGGUUGGGUAUGGACUCGCGGCUUACGAGCUUGUUGGUGGGGUAGUGGAUUACAAAGGCUUCGACGGGAAGCCGGCCUGCGAGGGUGACCGGCCCCAGUGGCACUGAGAUACGGCCCAGACUCCAACGGGAGGCAGCAGUGGUGAAUAUUGCACAAUGGGCGGAAGCCUGAUGCAGCAACGCCGCGUGCGGGAUGACGGCCUUCGGGUUGUAAACCGCUUUCGCCUGUGACGAAGCGUGAGUGACGGUAAUGGGUAAAGAAGCACCGGCUAACUACGU
rnacentral:rRNA from 1 species